UUUUUUCCUUUUUUUUUUGAUUGAUUUUUUUCCUUCUCUCUUUUUUUUUUUAAUGCCCCAGUUGGCUGUUCUGCUGAUUCUCGAGAUGCAGCUGAGUGAUCUUCUUUUCUCGCUCAAGAAGUCGGGAAAUACUGUCAGGAAUUCCUUCAACAACAUCUUCGUCCGCUUCGAAUAUAGGGAAUUCAAAAUUGGGAGAUGAC
rnacentral:lncRNA from 1 species